rnacentral:rRNA from 1 species
UGAUAUGAACCGUUAUAACCGGCGAUACCCGAAUGGGGAAACCCAGUGUGAUUCGUCACACUAUCAUUAACUGAAUCCAUAGGUUAAUGAGGCGAACCGGGGGAACUGAAACAUCUAAGUACCCCGAGGAAAAGAAAUCAACCGAGAUUCCCCCAGUAGCGGCGAGCGAACGGGGAGGAGCCCAGAGCCUGAAUCAGCAUGUGUGUUAGUGGAAGCGUCUGGAAAGGCGCGCGAUACAGGGUGACAGCCCCGUACACAAAAGCGCAUGUGCUGUGAGCUCGAUGAGUAGGGCGGGACACGUGGUAUCCUGUCUGAAUAUGGGGGGACCAUCCUCCAAGGCUAAAUACUCCUGACUGACCGAUAGUGAACCAGUACCGUGAGGGAAAGGCGAAAAGAACCCCGGCGAGGGGAGUGAAAAAGAACCUGAAACCGUGUACGUACAAGCAGUGGGAGC